rnacentral:rRNA from 1 species
CUUGUUCCUUAAAUAGGGACUAGUAUGAAUGGCAUCACGAGGGUUAUUCUGUCUCCCCCUUUCAAUCAGUGAAACUGAUCUCCCCGUGAAGAAGCGAGGAUAUUUAUAUAAGACGAGAAGACCCCAUGGAGCUUUAAACUCAGAAACACCCGCUAUUCUUAAAUCAAAUUAAUAUGCCUCCCUGAUUUCUAGUUUUCGGUUGGGGUGACCACGGAGUACAACACAACCUCCUUGAUGAACGGAACUCUUUCCUUAUUUAAGAACUACAGUUCUAUAAACCAAUACAUUGACAAAAAUUGAUCCAAAUUAUUUUGAUCAACGAACCAAGUUACCCUGGGGAUAACAGCGCAAUCCAUUUCAAGAGCUCAUAUCGACAAAUGGGUUUACGACCUCGAUGUUGGAUCAGGGUAUCCUAGUGGUGCAACCGCUACUAAAGGUUCGUUUGUUCAACGAUUAAAACCCU